rnacentral:lncRNA from 1 species
GCGGGGGUCACCCGGGUCGGGGCCCUCGAGUUCGAUCUGUCCCGCAGCCGGCGGUCUUGCGUCUUUCCCGCCCCCAGCACUGCCCCCGAGCACGUGCACGUGCCCACCGCCAGCCACAGCACUAACUGUGUGCCAGAGAGCAGUGAGAACCGAAGACACAGUAGCUUCUAUCAAGGCCCUCAUCGCCUGGUGGGAGACUGAGAAGGAAAGAAGGCAAUGAUGACAAGGUCAAAUCUCAGCUGAGAUGUCAUCUCCUCAAAGAUUUGCAUGGCUGUAGGCUUUGCCACCAGGAGAUAGUGACCCAACA